AACGAACGCUGGCGGCAGGCCUAGCACAUGCAAGUCGAACGCCCUAGCAAUAGGGAGUGGCAGACGGGUGUGUAACACGUGGGAAUAUCCCCCUCAGUACGGAAUAGCCCAGGGAAACUUGGAGUAAUACCGUAUACGUCCGUGAGGAGAAAGAUUUAUCGCUGAGGGAUUAGCCCGCGUCGGAUUAGCUAGUUGGUGAGGUAACGGCUCACCAAGGCGACGAUCCGUAGCUGGUCUGAGAGGACGACCAGCCACAUUGGGACUGAGACACGGCCCAAACUCCUACGGGAGGCAGCAGUGGGGAAUAUUGGACAAUGGGCGCAAGCCUGAUCCAGCCAUGCCGCGUGAGUGACGAAGGCCUUAGGGUUGUAAAGCUCUUUUGGCGGGGACGAUAAUGACGGUACCCGCAGAAUAAGCCCCGGCUAACUUCGUGCCAGCAGCCGCAGUAACAC
rnacentral:rRNA from 1 species